UCGCUCACUUGGGCAGCACAUAUACUAAAAUUGAAAUGAGACAGAGAUUAGCAUGGCCCCUGCACAAAGAUGACAUGUAAAUUCACGAAGCAUUUCAUAUUUAA